GAUGAACGCUGGCGGCGUGCCUAAUACAUGCAAGUCGAGCGAACAGACGAGGAGCUUGCUCCUCUGACGUUAGCGGCGGACGGGUGAGUAACACGUGGAUACCUAACCUAAAGAUUGGGGCAAAUUCUGGAAAACGGGAUCAAAAACGGGAUAUUAAUUUGCACGGCAGGUUCGAUUAGUAAAGGUGGGUUUUUUGGUCACUUUUGGUUGAUUCUCGGCCUAUUUGGCUAGUUGUUAAGGUAACGCCUUACCAAGGCACCGAUGCGUACCCGACCUGAGAGGGUGAUCGGCCACACUGGAACUGAGACACGGUCCAGACUCCUACGGGAGGCAGCAGUAGGGAAUCUUCCGCAAUGGGCGAAAGCUUGACGGAGCAACGCCGCGUGAGUGAUGAAGGUCUUCGGAUCGUAAAACUCUGUUAUUAGGGAAGAACAAAUGUGUAAGUAACUAUGCACGUCUUGACGGUACCUAAUCAGAAAGCCACGGCUAACUACGUG
rnacentral:rRNA from 1 species